rnacentral:rRNA from 1 species
AACGAACGCUGGCGGCAUGCCUAACACAUGCAAGUCGAACGAGAUCUUCGGGUCUAGUGGCGCACGGGUGCGUAACGCGUGGGAAUCUGCCCUUUGGUUCGGAAUAACAGUUGGAAACGACUGCUAAUACCGGAUGAUGACGAAAGUCCAAAGAUUUAUCGCAAGAGGAUGAGCCCGCGUAGGAUUAGCUAGUUGGUGUGGUAAAGGCGCACCAAGGCAACGAUCCUGAGCUGGUCUGAGAGGAUGAUCAGCCACACUGGGCCUGAGACACGGCCCAGACUCCUACGGGAGGCAGCAGUGGGGAAUAUUGGACAAUGGGCGAAAGCCUGAUCCAGCAAUGCCGCGUGAGUGAUGAAGGCCUUAGGGUUGUAAAGCUCUUUUACCCGGGAUGAUAAUGACAGUACCGGGAGAAUAAGCUCCGGCUAACUCCGUGCCAGCAGCCGCCGUAA